rnacentral:rRNA from 1 species
UACGGAGGGUGCGAGCGUUAAUCGGAAUUACUGGGCGUAAAGCGUGCGCAGGCGGUUUUGUAAGCCAGAUGUGAAAUCCCCGGGCUUAACCUGGGAAUGGCAUUUGGGACUGCAAGGCUGGAGUUUGGCAGAGGAGACUGGAAUUCCUGGUGUAGCAGUGAAAUGCGUAGAUAUCAGGAGGAACACCGAUGGCGAAGGCAGGUCUCUGGGCUGAAACUGACGCUCAUGCACGAAAGCGUGGGGAGCAAACGGG